rnacentral:sRNA from 1 species
UUGAAAAUCGAAAUUAUGAUGGCCAAACCAUAACAAUCAACAACAAUAGCUCGGUAUAUGACCAGAUAGUAGAGCAAAGGAGGGAGGGUUAGAGAAAAGAGUAAAUGGAAAUAACAAAGUUGUUGUAUUUUCUAGCAUUUCUCUCUACCAUUGUAUUUGUUUAUAGUUUUGUUUUGAUUUCACUAUUUUGCCAUUCAUAUCUCUGUCAGCCAGCCAGCCAGCUGAUUUUUCUAUUGUUGUUAGUGUUGUUGCUGCUGCCUCUGCUGCGCUGCUGUUGUAUUUGAAAUGUGUUUUAGUUAUCGGCUCCCCUUUUUCCUCACGCGUUUCGAAGAAAAAAAAAAAAAAAAAAAACAAACAAUGCUUGCGUUUGCCACAGUCGCAAAAGAAUCAUCGCAGACAACAAUCAGCCAGCCAGCUAGCCUAGCCAGCUUGUGCCAUGUGCUACGAUCAAAUUCAAAACAAAAUUCGCGCAGUAUCUUCACAGUUUAUAGAAUUCCCUUUUCGAAUUAACAUCGUCGUCACAGUUCAAUUUUGAAACGUUGUCAUCGGUUCACAUCAAAAUAAAUCGAUCGGCAACACCUUACCUCACGUACCAAGCAACCACUCAGCUGAGAAUUUGAUCUGACUGAUGAUUUUCGCCAAAUGCCGAUUGUGUGUUUUGCAUAAACAAUAUCUAAACUUUUUUUUUAAAUUUUGAAAUAAAUUAAUCGGCCAAAGAUAUGACAGCAGUGCAUUUAUUGUUCAUGUCCGAUUAAAUUUCAUUAUUUGUUUUGAAUGAAUUUCAUUCAGAAUCCAGUGGCAGUCAAGUGUCUUAAACGUAUGCAGUGAAUCUAAAGAAGAAGAAAAAAAAAAAA